GACGAACGCUGGCGGCGUGCCUAAUACAUGCAAGUCGAACGGUCUUUUCUAUGGAAGCUUGCUUCCACUGAGAAGAUAGUGGCGAACGGGUGAGUAACACGUGGGUAACCUGCCCAUAAGAGGGGGAUAACAUCCGGAAACGGGUGCUAAUACCGCAUAGUUUUCUUGAUCGCAUGAUUGAGAAAGGAAAGACGGCCUUUGCGCUGUCGCUUAUGGAUGGACCCGCGGCGUAUUAGUUAGUUGGUGAGGUAACGGCUCACCAAGACGAUGAUACGUAGCCGACCUGAGAGGGUGAUCGGCCACAUUGGGACUGAGACACGGCCCAAACUCCUACGGGAGGCAGCAGUAGGGAAUCUUCCGCAAUGGACGAAAGUCUGACGGAGCAACGCCGCGUGAGUGAAGAAGGUUUUCGGAUCGUAAAACUCUGUUGUCAGAGAAGAACAAGUUGGAGAGUAACUGCUCCAGCCUUGACGGUAUCUGACCAGAAAGCCACGGCUAAC
rnacentral:rRNA from 1 species